rnacentral:rRNA from 1 species
AUGCCCAGGCCCCCCUACUCCGUUGGGGCGCAGACCGCUGGCCAGCUGACCUUGCAGCUGGCGCCCGAAAUCUCGUCGUCCUGGCGCCAGAGGAAACGCCGCCUGCACUUGUCGAUCUCUUUGAGAAUCUUCUUCGGGACAUGGAGGACGAUGAGGGCGAAGGUUGGCAUUGCACUCAGCACGCAUCGGACGAGGACGCGGCGGCCGGCCAUCGGUAGCAGCUUGCCCUUCCAGCCCGCGUGCCUUGCCUUGAUUCUGUCUUUGAGAAACUUCAAAAGUUAUAGAUAUAUUUUGGACGUAUCUAUGGGGGUGGGCUUCACGACAAUGAAGUACAUGUAG